rnacentral:lncRNA from 1 species
CAAGUGUGUGUGCGACUAUGAUGGCUCCUCGGACAGUAUUUCUUCUUUAGAAUCAUACGUUGAAGACUCUCUCUUGUCUGCAAAAUUAAGCAAUGAGGAGGAUGGGAUUGGCGGAGGAAGGUGUUGGCGGCCGGAGAAAUCUGGUGGGGAAGAGAGAGGGUGGUCAACGAAUCAAACAAAUAAGGCACCUGAAAAGGUACCCUUAGAAGGUCUUGAGUUUUGUCAGGAGAAAAGGGAACCCUCUUUCACUAAAGGCUAUUGAGUGUG